GGGUUGUGAGGUUAAGCGACUAAGCGUACACGGUGGAUGCCCUGGCAGUCAGAGGCGAUGAAGGGCGUGCUAAUCUGCGAUAAGCGCCGGUAAGGUGAUAUGAACCGUUAUAACCGGCGAUACCCGAAUGGGGAAACCCAGUGUGAUUCGUCACACUAUCAUUAACUGAAUCCAUAGGUUAAUGAGGCGAACCGGGGGAACUGAAACAUCUAAGUACCCCGAGGAAAAGAAAUCAACCGAGAUUCCCCCAGUAGCGGCGAGCGAACGGGGAGGAGCCCAGAGCCUGAAUCAGCAUGUGUGUUAGUGGAAGCGUCUGGAAAGGCGCGCGAUACAGGGUGACAGCCCCGUACACAAAAGCGCAUGUGCUGUGAGCUCGAUGAGUAGGGCGGGACACGUGGUAUCCUGUCUGAAUAUGGGGGGACCAUCCUCCAAGGCUAAAUACUCCUGACUGACCGAUAGUGAACCAGUACCGUGAGGGAAAGGCGAAAAGAACCCCGGCGAGGGGAGUGAAAAAGAACCUGAAACCGUGUACGUACAAGCAGUGGGAGCACAGGUUUACCUGUGUGACUGCGUACCUUUUGUAUAAUGGGUCAGCGACUUAUAUUCUGUAGCAA
rnacentral:rRNA from 1 species